rnacentral:rRNA from 1 species
CCUACGGGUGGCAGCAGUCGAGAAUCAUUCACAAUGGGGGAAACCCUGAUGGUGCGACGCCGCGUGGGGGAAUGAAGGUCUUCGGAUUGUAAACCCCUGUCAUGUGGGAGCAAAUUAAAAAGAUAGUACCACAAGAGGAAGAGACGGCUAACUCGGUGCCAGCAGCCGCGGUAAUACAGAGGUCUCAAGCGUUGUUCGGAAUCACUGGGCGUAAGGCGUGCGGAGGCUGUUUCGUAAGUCGUGUGUGAAAGGCGCGGGCUCAACCCGCGGACGGCACAUGAUACUGCGAGACUAGAGUAAUGGAGGGGGAACCGGAAUUCUCGGUGUAGCAGUGAAAUGCGUAGAUAUCGAGAGGAACACUCGUGGCGAAGGCGGGUUCCUGGACAUUAACUGACGCUGAGGCACGAAGGCCAGGGGAGCGAAAGGGAUUAGAUACCCGAGUAGUC